rnacentral:misc_RNA from 1 species
UAAAUCGUAACUAACUUCAGAGCUGUUGUGAACAAUGGCGACGUUUCAACGAAAGUGACAUUCUGACGAACAAAUGUGUUUUCACACUUUAACAUUAAUCUUCUUUUGUAGAUAUUGAUUACGUUCAUUAACUGCUAAAUCAGCAGAAAUCCGUGUUUUAGAAUGGCUUUGAACGCUAACGCGUUAUCCAGUGACAUAAGCCGAAGAAAUCCACAAGAUGAAUAUGAACUCAUUCAGAGGAUAGGCAGCGGAACGUACGGAGAUGUUUACAAGGCCAAAAGACUUUCCACAAAUGAUCUCGCUGCAAUUAAGGUUAUCAAAUUGGAACCAGGAGAUGAUUUCGCAAUAAUUCAACAAGAAAUUUUAAUGAUGAAAGAUUGCAGACAUCCUAAUAUUAUUGCCUAUUAUGGAAGUUAUUUGAGAAGAGAUAAAUUAUGGAUUUGUAUGGAAUAUUGUGGAGGUGGUUCUUUGCAAGAUAUAUAUCACAUAACUGGACCUUUGUCAGAAAUACAAAUAGCAUAUAUGUGCCGAGAAACACUUUUGGGAUUGGCUUAUUUACAUAGUAUGGGCAAAAUGCAUCGUGAUAUUAAAGGUGCCAAUAUAUUAUUGACUGAAGCUGGUGAUGUCAAAUUAGCUGAUUUUGGUGUAUCAGCACAAAUUACUGCAACUAUUAAUAAAAGGAAGAGUUUCAUUGGUACUCCUUAUUGGAUGGCACCUGAGGUUGCAGCUGUAGAAAGAAAGGGUGGUUAUAAUCAGCUUUGUGAUAUUUGGGCAUGUGGAAUUACUGCAAUAGAAUUAGCUGAAUUGCAACCACCUAUGUUUGAUUUACAUCCCAUGAGAGCACUUUUUCUUAUGUCCAAAUCCGGAUUUAAACCACCUACGUUAAAAGAUCGCGACAAAUGGAGUCCAACAUUCCAUAAUUUCGUAAAAAUUGCUCUAACUAAAAAUCCUAAAAAAAGACCGACUGCUGAAAAAUUAUUACAGCAUGCAUUUUUUCAAGGAGAAAUGAAUAAACGUUUAGCUCUAGAAUUAUUGCAAAAAGUAUCAAAUCCUAGUCAUAUGUUCACUGAAUUAGAAGCAGAUGAAGAUGGAGCUGUACCUAAUGUUCCGCAAAGGAUAGCAUCGCGUCAUACUGCAAGACCUAGACCAAAAAGUCCUAUACCGCAAUUAGAUAGCGACGAUCAAAUUAAUCUUGAUGGAACAUUGCAAAGAGACGUGAUUUCACCAUCUGUAGAUACUAAUCCAUCAUGGGAUAUCAUGGAUAUUAUGAAUAACGUUAAGUCAGUUCAUAACUGCGAUGUUCAUCCAGAUUGUGGUAUUGGCACAGCAUUUGAAGAUGUACAAGAAAAUCCUGUUGGCGCGAACGUUACAACAGAUAAUAGAGAGUCGCGUCGAAGCAAAACAGGCACAGAGAUAUUUCAUAUGAGUUUAAGGAGUCUAUUGCAGUACAUUGAUGAGGAGUUGUUGCUAAGGGGGAAUGCAAUGUCGAUGGUUGGUGGGCAUUGCGACCAGCUAUAUUCCCUGCAAGCUACACUUCCACUUGGAGAAUCAUCAAAUGAUUGUGAAGUGCAUGGCGCAUAUUACAAUAUAUCAGGAUCACAAGCAAGUCCCAGGCGUCAUAGCUCUGUAGAUGAAUUAUAUGGUUUAGUGAAUAGUACUCAGUCUUUGGCUGCUGUGAAUGGACAACGUCAACGAUCUCUUUCAGAUAGUGGCCCUAGAGAUGAAUCUCCUCAAUCGAAUGGUCAAAAUGAGAUGUCAGGCGAAGGAGAUCGAGAAGGUAUGAGUCCAGAUUUAUUAUCCGAUACUCCUCCUGUUCCUCCGAGAAGAAGGGAUAGAAAACGUCAUACACCUCCUAGACCUAUCAGCAAUGGACUGCCACCAACACCUAAGGUUCAUAUGGGAGCAUGUUUUUCAAAAGUAUUUAAUGGUUGUCCGUUAAGAAUACAUUGUACUGCAAGUUGGAUUCAUCCAGAUACAAGGGAUCAGCAUUUAUUAAUUGCAGCAGAAGAAGGAAUUUAUAAUUUAAAUUUAAAUGAACUUCAUGAAACUGCAAUAGAUCAAUUAUAUCCAAGAAGAACUAUUUGGAUGUAUGUCAUCAAGGAUGUUCUCAUGUCCUUAUCUGGAAAAACUCCUCAAUUAUAUAGACAUGAUUUAUUAGCAAUGCAAAGUAAACAAACUCAUAGGUUUUCAUUACAUAUGAAUAAAAUACCUGAAAGAUUAGUCCCUAGAAAAUUUGCUCUAACUACAAAAGUACCAGAUACAAAAGGUUGUACUAAAUGCUGUGUAGGAAGAAAUCCAUAUAAUGGAUAUAAAUAUCUAUGUGGUGCAAUGCCAACUGGAAUAUUUUUAAUGCAAUGGUAUGAUCCUCUUAAUAAGUUCAUGUUGUUAAAGCAUUUUGAUUGUACAUUACCAACACCACUAAAUGUAUUUGAAAUUAUUAUUACACCUGAAAUGGAGUAUCCGAUGGUGUGUGUAUCUGUGAAACAACCAUAUCAACAGAAUAAAUUAAAGUUGGAUUUAAUCAAUAUGAAUUCAGGGGCAAGUUGGUUUCACAGUGAUGAAUUGGAAGAUAUGGAUGGUUCUGCUACUGUGAUACCAAGAAGAGAAAAUCUUCAUGUUAUCAAUGUUACACAAUUAGAAAAAAAUGCAAUAUUAGUCUGUUAUGAUAAUGUAGUAAAAGUGGUAACAUUGCAAGGAAAGCCUAGAUCAAGUAGAAAGCACAUGUCAGAAUUACAUUUUAAUUUUCAAAUUGAAUCCAUUAUUUGUUUACCAGAUAGUGUGCUAGCAUUCCAUAAACAUGGUAUGCAAGGUAGAAGUUUCAAAAACGGUGAAGUUACGCAAGAAAUCAGUGAUCCGAGUAGAACGUACAGAUUACUUGGAUCAGAUAAAGUUGUGAUGCUGGAGAGCCACUUAGUUCAAUCAGGUACACUGACUGAAUCCGAAGGCGCGGAUUUAUAUAUACUUGCUGGACACGAAGCCAGUUAUUAAGCUAUCUUCCAACUGUAAAUGUGCAGACUUAAUGUGUCACGAGUGAUUUGUGAUUCCAAUGACUGCAUAUAAAGUAAAAUAUGACUGAGAGGCAGUGGUCGAUGUUGGUGCUGUUCUAUCAAGUUACAAAAAUUGAUUCGGUCUUCUGUUCAGCUAUGUAUUAUGUUUUUCAUUAAAAAAUAUAUGUAAAUAUGUAAACCAAAAUUGGAAUAUUUUAAGAGGCAAAUUCGUGUUGUAAAAAUGAUGAUACGACUUAAAAAAAAUGAGAUAAAGAAAAGGAAAUGCGUGAAAAAGAGAGGUAUAUAUAAAUAUAAAUAUAUAUAUAUUUAAUAAAAAUUGUCCUUCGAAGAAAAAAUAUGAGUUGAAAGAAAUAUAAGAAUUAGCGUAAACGACGAUAUCGAGAUUUCGUUAGUUUGUGCUAUUUCAUAGGAGAAAAGAAAAAGAAAACUAUAAUUAUCAAUACUCUCAAUAGUAUGUUAUUAACCAAAGUUUUAGUUGCGAAUAGAAACAACAAUGAAAAUAUUCUUAUGAAUGGAAUUAUAAAAAAAAAAUGUAUUAUUAUCAUAUAAAUGAAUUCUAGCUUUAGAGAGCUUCUCGAUGAGAUGUUGUAUAGAACAAAAGAAAUAAAAUAACUCUUUAAAGUUUUUGCAACAAUGGUUUUCAUACUCCUUAUAAAAAAAUAUUUUCUAACAUCUUAAUAUUUUACGAAAUUUAUUGAAAACGUGCAUGAGACUUAUAAUGCUCAUAUUUUAAGUCUUUUUUAUACUAUUUAAUUGAAUUAUGAGGAGUUCAAAAAGUAAUUGGAAAACAUUGAUAUCUUAAUAUUUUAAUGAAGCAAAAGUUACACGAUUAAUGUAACUUUUCUCUCUCUAUCUAUUACUUAUGUCAUUAUUGUCUUAUAAUCUUGGUUGUUUUCUCUACACUAAUAAUAACGAAAUUUAUAUAUUUUGUUUAAAAACGCGUUAAUAGAUAGUAUUAUAGCAUACUAAAUAGCAUUAUAUAUUAAACAGACAAAAUGGAAGAAAUUUCUUAAAUUAUGGAACAUUUGAAUAAUAUUGAUUUCAGUACUUAUUAUAUAAUGAUCUUGUUAUUAAAAAAUAAAAAAAAGGAUGAACAAUAGAAAAUGAUUUUUAUGUCAAAAGGAUCAUAAUAAUAAAAUAUUUUUUCUUUUUAUUAUUGUAUUAUUGUAAGAAUUAUUUUAUAUAAAUGGAAUUAUUAUAUUUCUGUACAACAUCAAUCGCAGAAACUUUGUAAACGAAAUGAAUCUUAAUUUAUUCUUUAUAUUUAUAUAUGCAGCAGGAACUAAUGGAGAUUUGAAAAAAAAGGUUCUCCUAAAAAGAGAAUUUUAAUUCAAGAUAAUAAUCAAUUAAUGUAUUAUAUAGUUGCUACAGUUGUACAUAAUGAAUGUAUUAUAAUGAACGAUCUUAUUUUUCAGUUCAUUAAAUUUUUCAUUUUUUAAUUAAUAUUUUUCUUUUCUUCUUUUUUGUAUACAGUAUUGCAAAACUAAUUUAUGAAUACAAUGUAUAAUUUACUCUUGUAUUUGUAAACAUGACUAGCCGAAGUCUCUUGUAAAUAGACAUUUCUCGUAAUAAAACCUACCUGAAGUAACAUUU